rnacentral:rRNA from 1 species
AUCCACAGCCAUGCCACCCUAAACAUGCCUGAUCCUGUCUGAUCUUGGAAGCUAAGCAGGGUUGGGCCUGGUUAGUACUUGGAUGGUAGACUAUCUAGGAAGACCAGGUGCUGUAGGUG